UGAAAUGCUUUCUAUGACAACGGAGGAGGACAGUGCAACUAUCUGUCACAAAGCAGAGGUGGGGACGAGGCAAACUGGGAAUAUACAGCACAGAAAGAUACACUUUCGGCAUCUGUUCUGCACUUCUCACCCUUUCAGCCAUGACAUCGAAGAUGAGCUGGCAUCUGGCGUCAAGCGGUGUCCUUGAACUCGCAUCCAGCUUUCUCAAAGGCGCUGCAUUGAUUCUCGUCAGUACUCUUCUAUUCGUUGGAGUCAUCGCCUGGAUUGCCCGAUUGAUAAAAUGGAAAACAUUCAAGCACCUCCAACACUUGCCACACCGUAAAGAACAGGUGCCUUUUCAAGGCUUGUGGAUCCUUUUCAAGUCCUGCUCACCGCCCGACUCGCCUAUCAGGUUUAGCACAAUGCUUUUCGCCGGAAUUUGUGGAUUACAUGCGCGAUUCCAGAGGUAUGGCAGGCACCUUGUCUACAUAGGAUUCACUCCUCUGCUCACCGUGUACAAAGCCGAGUAUUUAGAGGUAUGCUUUCUAUUGCUAUUGGUCUCAAUGCAUUUUUAUUUUGUGAUAUUUAACAUUUGGUAACUAAAGUUAAGCUUAUG
rnacentral:lncRNA from 1 species